rnacentral:rRNA from 1 species
AUUGAACGCUGGCGGCAUGCUUUACACAUGCAAGUCGAACGGUAACAGGUUAAGCUGACGAGUGGCGAACGGGUGAGUAAUGCAUCGGAACGUGCCCGGUCGUGGGGGAUAACGCAGCGAAAGCUGCGCUAAUACCGCAUACGAUCUGAGGAUGAAAGCGGGGGACCGUAAGGCCUCGCGCGAUCGGAGCGGCCGAUGUCAGAUUAGGUAGUUGGUGAGGUAAAGGCUCACCAAGCCAACGAUCUGUAGCUGGUCUGAGAGGACGACCAGCCACACUGGGACUGGGACGCGGCCCAGACUCCUACGGGAGGCAGCAGUGGGGAAUUUUGGACAAUGGGCGAAAGUCUGAUCCAGCAAUGCCGCGUGCAGGAAGAAGGCCUUCGGGUUGUAAACUGCUUUUGUACGGAGCGAAAAGGCUCUCUCUAAUACAGGGGGCUCAUGACGGUACCGUAAGAAUAAGCACCGGCUAACUACGUGCCAGCCGCCGCGGUAA